GACGAACGCUGGCGGCGUGCUUAACACAUGCGAGUCGAACGGAAAGGCCCUGCUUUUGUGGGGUGCUCGAGUGGCGAACGGGUGAGUAACACGUGAGUAACCUGCCCUUGACUUUGGGAUAACUUCAGGAAACUGGGGCUAAUACCGGAUAGGAGCUCCUGCUGCAUGGGGGGGGUUGGAAAGUUUCGGCGGUUGGGGAUGGACUCGCGGCUUAUCAGCUUGUUGGUGGGGUAGUGGCGUACCAAGGCUUUGACGGGUAGCCGGCCUGAGAGGGUGACCGGCCACAUUGGGACUGAGAUACGGCCCAGACUCCUACGGGAGGCAGCAGUGGGGAAUAUUGCACAAUGGGCGGAAGCCUGAUGCAGCAACGCCGCGUGCGGGAUGACGGCCUUCGGGUUGUAAACCGCUUUCGCCUGUGACGAAGCGUGAGUGACGGUAAUGGGUAAAGAAGCACCGGCUAACUACGUG
rnacentral:rRNA from 1 species